rnacentral:lncRNA from 1 species
UUCUGGACUCGCGAAGCAGCUGCAACAAGGCAUCACUCACUGUAUAAGUAUUUCCAUUUCUGAGAGCAAAAGGAAGAACUUAAGCGGGCGGCACUUGGAGUGUAAAUUGCUUUGUAGUAUUUAAAGGCAGAAUGGAUCCUGGGCAGCCGAGCUGCAACAAACCGGCAGGACUUCCUGUGAAAUCAUGACCACCAUGUGCUCUUUCAGCCUCUAUCAGUUCCUACCUCUAAGCACCUGAGAGCCAAAGCAAACCACAGGAAACCACAGAAUGAAAGCCAAGCAUAUUCCAUCAUUUCCUAAAACCAAGAUAGAGCACAUAUGGGAACUUGUGAAAUAAGGAUGCCCUGCGGUUGUUUUCAGGACUGAAGACAACAGCUCCACGAUGUAUCUUUGCAUAAGAAUACACUUGAAACCAAAGCACAAAGAGAGAAAGAAAAGAAAGAGAAAAAAGGAAGAAAGAAAAGAAAGAUGAAAGAAAGAAAGAGAAAGAAGAGAGAGGGAGAGAGAGAAAGAAAGAGAAGGAAAGAAAGAAGGAAGAAGAAAGAAAGAAAGAAAGAAAGAAAGAAAGAAAGAAAGAAAGAAAGAAAGAAAGAAAGAAAGAAAGAAAGAAAAAAGGAAGGAAGGAAAAGAAACACAUGGAAAGUGACAGGCUCCCUUUGUAUAUCACCUUGCAUGGUAAAGUGCAGAGAGCUCCAUCAGAGAAAUGCAGUUAAAAUCCAGUAGAUACCACCGUACACCUGAAAGACUUGUGAACAAACAGAUGACAGAAAAACAAAACAAAGCAAAACAGAACCUGAGAAUUUGAAUUGCUGCUUCUUUGGACCUUUUAAGUUGCAUUAUCCCAUAAAAUGUGGUGGAUUCAAUGUUGUAUGGCCUGUAAAACUAAGUAAUGAAGGCUGAUAUGUACCCACCUGGCUCUGUCUUGGGAUCACACAACUUGGGAGCCAAAACAGAUUGCAAAUGAUGUUCAAAUCAAGGACUGGCUUAAGGGAGAAAAUCAAUUAUACUGUACAA